UACAGAGGUGGCAAGCGUUGUUCGGAAUUACUGGGCGUAAAGGGCGCGUAGGCGGUUCGUUAAGUCCUGUGUGAAAUCCCCCGGCUCAACUGGGGAACUGCACAGGAAACUAGCGGGCUUGAGUUCGGGAGAGGGAAGCGGAAUUCCGGGUGUAGCGGUGAAAUGCGCAGAUAUCAGGAGGAACACCGGUGGCGAAGGCGGGUCUCUGGGCCGAUAUUGACGCUGAGGAGCGAAAGCGUGGGGAGCGAACAGG
rnacentral:rRNA from 1 species